rnacentral:tRNA from 1 species
UGUCAUGUAGCUUAGUUGGAUUAGAGCAUCUGCCUACGAAGCAGACGGUCACAGGUUCGAGCCCUGUCAUGACAGCCA